UAAAAUAGCUCAGUUUGAUUAUAGUGUAAUGAUUACAGUAUAAUCAUUGCACUAUAAUCAAACUGAGCUUCUUG
rnacentral:miRNA from 1 species